rnacentral:rRNA from 1 species
ACGUAGGAUGCAAGCGUUGUUCGGAUUUAUUGGGCGUAAAGCGUACGUAGGCGGUUCGGUAAGUGGGAGGUUAAAGACCAGGGCUCAACCCUGGGAGUGCCCCCCAAACUGUCGGACUAGAGGUUCAUAGGGGAAAGUGGAAUUCCGAGUGUAGCGGUGAAAUGCGUAGAUAUUCGGAGGAACGCCUGUGGCGAAAGCGACUUUCUGGGUGACACCUGACGCUGAGGUACGAAAGCAUGGGGAGCAAACAGGA